rnacentral:rRNA from 1 species
GACGAACGCUGGCGGCGUGCUUAACACAUGCAAGUCGAACGGUAAGGCCCUUCGGGGUACACGAGUGGCGAACGGGUGAGUAACACGUGGGUGAUCUGCCCUGCACUUCGGGAUAAGACUGGGAAACUGGGUCUAAUACCGGAUAGGACUCCGGACUGCAUGGUCUGGGGUGGAAAGCUUUUGUGGUGUGGGAUGGGCCCGCGGCCUAUCAGCUUGUUGGUGGGGUGAUGGCCUACCAAGGCGACGACGGGUAGCCGGCCUGAGAGGGUGACCGGCCACACUGGGACUGAGAUACGGCCCAGACUCCUACGGGAGGCAGCAGUGGGGAAUAUUGCACAAUGGGCGCAAGCCUGAUGCAGCGACGCCGCGUGAGGGAUGACGGCCUUCGGGUUGUAAACCUCUUUCAGCAUCGACGAAGCGAAAGUGACGGUAGGUGCAGAAGAAGGACCGGCCAACUACGUGCCAGCAGCCGCCGUAA